rnacentral:rRNA from 1 species
CAGUAGCCGCGGUAACACGGAGGGGGCUAGUGUUGUUCGGAAUUACUGGGCGUAAAGCGCACGUAGGCGGCUUGGUAAGUUAGAGGUGAAAGCCUGGAGCUCAACUCCAGAAUUGCCUUUAAGACUGCCGAGCUAGCAGGUGAGAGAGGUAAGUGGAAUUCCGAGUGUAGAGGUGAAAUUCGUAGAUAUUCGGAAGAACACCAGUGGCGAAGGCGGCUUACUGGCUCAUACUGGACGCUGAGGUGCGAAAGCGUGGGGAGCAAACAGGAUUAGAUACCCCAGUAGUCCCUGUCUCUUAUAU